CAAAAAAAGUCUCUCUCUCUCUGAAAUCAAAUCUGGUUGGCUUCGUCCAAUUCUGCCUCUAGGUGGCUGAUGUGCAAAUAAAAGAGGGUUUCAAUCGAUGGCUCACCUCUUGGUUCGUUUCUUCAAGCGAUCCUCUCAUAACUUAUUCUUGGAACAGAGAGCGAAUAGCACAGCUAAAUGCCAAGAAUACGAGAGUUGGGAGUGGCGGAAAGGCGAGAGACGCAUGAGAUGAGUGCAGUGCAGUGCGGUGAACAAAGGCUUGGCUGUCCUCAUCGGUAAACCCGAAGGGGCAUGUGUGGUCUCUCUCUCUCUAGCUCGCGAAUGUCUGAUAUCACUUGUAACGCGAGAACCACUGGCUGCAAACGCACGCAAACCUCAAACACGAUUGGAGGCGCUCUUAGAUGAUUCGCUCUCCCGUAUUCUCUCCCUGGUUCCACUCGAUCACCUGAUUAUGGUCGUGUUGUUCCAGGUGUCUGGACGUGUACGCACAGCCGUUGGUGAGGCCGAGUGUGAUAUUGUUUCGUUUCAUCAAAAAAGGCCAGGAUCGUGAGCAUCUUCUUAUCCAGGAAAAAUUCGUUGUCUUGUUGUCAAGUUUGAAAACGUUGAUCGAUAAAUUGCAACUUGGAACUGCUGUGGCUUAAAAGCUAGAACGAGAGUUCUCAACUUCAAAUAACCAGGGGGCCGUCGUUGUUUCUUUGGUGUUAACCGUGGACCCACUCGUUUACUCGUUGACAAAUCGCAAGCCCAAAAAGCAACAUGACUUGAAAAGUGAAAUGGCGAUGAGGAUACCAACCAUCAUAACAGUGAGGACCCAUUGUUUACGCUCAUAUCUAUCUCUCUUUCUCUCUUGCUUGCUGGCAUGGCAGAAUGGAUGCGAGCCCUCAAGUACGUAUCGGUUCCUUCAUACGAUACAUCGACGUCUGGCGGUACAGCGUUUGUACUUCGGUAGUCCACAUGUGAGCUCGAAAUACCACUCAAUGGCUGGCUUUUGAGCUCUAAAACAUUAUACCGAAGAAUGAGCAAGAGAACGGGGAAGAGACGUAAGAGAAGAAGACGACGAAGGCAUCCAUCCUCAUUUUAAGCCACUAGACCAAAACACAACCACCACCGAAGACCUGGCAUGACGUCAUUCGCCUGCAACCUGUUGCCUGAAAUAUCGAACACUCUGCUCAUUUAAGAACGUGAUUUAUGUCUUCGACCUUUGAAGUGAAUCGUGGAAGUAAAUUGAAAAAGCGAAAACGGCGGUACAUUUUCAGGGAUCGCUUGCAUGGCACAAGCAAACGCUCCUCGGGAUCCCAAGCCAAGUCUUCCAAGAGUUCCUGUUUUAGAACAUCCAUCCAUUCACAAUCAUUCCAAAAGAUAUUCCCAUAUCAUGGAGAACAGUGAAAGCAAUCACACUAUUGCCACAGAUCUCCUCUUGACCCCUAGCACAAGUAGCCAACACGGGAUGUUGUCUAACGAUCCACCUGGGGUGAAAAAACGUCCUCACACUGAUCUUGGCCAAGAAGAAAAGAGAAUCCUUGAGGCUGAGGAUCAACACGAGGACAAGAUGAAUCCCGUUCAGAGAGUCCCUUCGAUUACCAGCUCAAACCAAAUAUGCCCUGACAUCAUUCCAAGUCCAAGUCGAGGACCUAACUCUGUUCCAAGGCGGAAAUCAACGCUUAGAAAUUUUCAUAGAGUUGUAGAACAGUCCGAAGAGGAACCAUUGUGUGUGAUCAUUUUCAAAUGGACCUUAAUCGUGGUGGGUGCACUGAUGCUUGGACUAGUGAUCUUUAUUAUGGGUGAGGUGAUUCAUGCCUGGAUAACUGGCACAUUGGAGGAAUUAAAUAAUCGAUACACAGCCACAAGUCCGAUCACAUUGGAUGCUUUAAAACGUGAUGCCCUUGUCAGCGAAUCGGGGAACCUUUCUGAUAUUGAGCGGACCCUGUGACGAAAAUGUAUUGUGACCGAGGCUCCUAACGCUUUGAGUUCCAGUAGACCAUUGACCAAAAAAAUCAUAAUAUCUGGAAUCAUUCUCGAUAAUCAAUUGACCAUA